rnacentral:tRNA from 1 species
ACCUGGCUGGCUCAGUCAGUAGAGCAUGUGACUUGAGAUCUUGGGGUUGUGAGUUCAAGCCCCACACUAGGCA